rnacentral:rRNA from 1 species
CCCUUAGACGUUCUGGGCCGCACGCGCGCUACACUGACCAGUGCAACAAGCAUCCGUCCUUGGCCGACAGGCUCGGGCAAUCUUUGAACGCUGGUCGUGAUGGGGAUAGACUUUUGCAAUUUUUGGUCUUCAACGAGGAAUUCCUAGUAAACGCAAGUCAUCAACUUGCAUUGAUUACGACCCUGCCCUUUGUACACACCGCCCGUCGCACCUACCGAUUGAAUGGUCCGGUGAAGCCUCCGGAUUGGCGCGCACCUCGGUGCCGCCGAGAAGUUGGCUAAACCUUACCAUUUAGAGGAAGGUGAAGUCGUAACA